GGGAAACAAUAGGUCAAUUAUGGAAAAAACUCCAGUUACUAAUUCUUGUAACUAGCCUUCUACACUGAGAUAUUUUAAUCAUAAGAAAAAUAUAACUAUCUUUUUUUAGGAUAUGCUGUGAUGAAUACAGAAUGCCUCAUAAUAGAUAUACUCUUGUAAAUUGAAAUUCAAGUAAAUUGUGGAGAGUUAAAUAUUUGAAAUAUAGUAGAGAACUUCUGGAAGCCUGUUGUGAAUCCUUUUAUAAAACAAAUUAUUGUUUCAUAAUUUAUCUAUUCUGUACCUUAAUUCUUUGGGCUAUUGGGUUUUCGUAAAGAAAAUGUUAUCUUAAUACCUUGCAAAUA
rnacentral:lncRNA from 1 species